rnacentral:rRNA from 1 species
GAUGAACGCUGGCGGCGUGCCUAAUACAUGCAAGUCGAGCGAACAGACGAGGAGCUUGCUCCUCUGACGUUAGCGGCGGACGGGUGAGUAACACGUGGAUAACCUACCUAUAAGACUGGGAUAACUUCGGGAAACCGGAGCUAAUACCGGAUAAUAUAUUGAACCGCAUGGUUCAAUAGUGAAAGACGGUUUUGCUGUCACUUAUAGAUGGAUCCGCGCCGCAUUAGCUAGUUGGUAAGUUAACGGCUUACCAAGGCAACGAUGCGUAGCCGACCUGAGAGGGUGAUCGGCCACACUGGAACUGAGACACGGUCCAGACUCCUACGGGAGGCAGCAGUAGGGAAUCUUCCGCAAUGGGCGAAAGCCUGACGGAGCAACGCCGCAUGAGUGAUGAAGGUCUUCGGAUCGUAAAACUCUGUUAUUAGGGAAGAACAAAUGUGUAAGUAACUAUGCACGUCUUGACGGUACCUAAUCAGAAAGCCACGGCUAACUACGUG